GAUGAACGCUAGCGACAGGCCUAACACAUGCAAGUCGAGGGGCAGCGGGGAGCGAAGCUUGCUUUGCUCCGCCGGCGACCGGCGCACGGGUGAGUAACGCGUAUGCAACCUGCCCGUUUCAGCGGGAUAACCCGGAGAAAUCCGGCCUAAUACCGCAUGUGGCCGAGGGGGAGGCAUCUUCUUUCGGCCAAAGGAGGCAACUCCGGAGACGGAUGGGCAUGCGUGACAUUAGCUUGUUGGCGGGGUAACGGCCCACCAAGGCGACGAUGUCUAGGGGUUCUGAGAGGAAGGUCCCCCACACUGGUACUGAGACACGGACCAG
rnacentral:rRNA from 1 species